rnacentral:rRNA from 1 species
UACGUAGGGCGCAAGCGUUGUCCGGAAUUAUUGGGCGUAAAGAGCUCGUAGGCGGCUUGUCACGUCGGAUGUGAAAGCCCGAGGCUUAACCUCGGGUCUGCAUUCGAUACGGGCUAGCUAGAGUGUGGUAGGGGAGAUCGGAAUUCCUGGUGUAGCGGUGAAAUGCGUAGAUAUCUGGAGGAACACCGGUGGCGAAGGCGACAUCCUGGACCGGUAUUGACGCUGAGGCGCGAAAGCCAGGGGAGCAAACGGG